rnacentral:rRNA from 1 species
AACGAACGCUGGCGGCAGGCCUAACACAUGCAAGUCGAACGCCCUAGCAAUAGGGAGUGGCAGACGGGUGAGUAACACGUGGGAACCUUCCCUAUAGUACGGAAUAUACCCAGGGAAACUUGGAGCAAUACCGUAUACGCCCGAGAGGGGAAAGAUUUAUCGCUAUAGGAUGGGCCCGCGUAGGAUUAGCUAGUUGGUGAGGUAAUGGCUCACCAAGGCGACGAUCCUUAGCUGGUUUGAGAGAACGACCAGCCACACUGGGACUGAGACACGGCCCCAGACUCCUACGGGAGGCAGCAGUGGGGAAUAUUGGACAAUGGGCGCAAGCCUGAUCCAGCCAUGCCGCGUGAGUGAUGAAGGCCUUAGGGUUGUAAAGCUCUUUUUGCCGGGGACGAUAAUGACGGUACCCGGAGAAUAAGUCCCGGCUAACUUCGUGCCAG